rnacentral:piRNA from 1 species
AGUAGUUCUUGCCUGAUGGAGAC